rnacentral:lncRNA from 1 species
UUGGAUUGCUACCCAUCAGUCAGAUCUUUUCAACCCUUAACUUUUAAUUUUGUGCAUAGGAUUAGUCUCUUCAUCUUCUCCCCAUUUCUUUAAUUUCAAAAUCUCUUCCUCGUCUUUUUAAAAUAUUCUUUGAUUGAACUCAUUUUGUUCUAAACUUUGACCACUUUACAAAAAGAUAGAAACUUUGGCCUUAUGCCAUUGCAUUUUCAAUCUUCUUUUCUUAAAUCAAAUUUGUAAAUAAACUUAAC